AGAGAUAGGGAAGUGGUCGCUGGAUUAAGUGUCCAGAGGAAAGUCCGGACACCGCAGAGCAGGAUGCUGGUUAAAUACCAGGAAGCGUGAGCUUACGGAAAGUGCCACAGAAAAUACACAGCUCCCUGCUUUACUUUGUUAAAGCAGAAGUAAAGGUGAAAAGGUGCGGUAAGAGCGCACCAGGCUUCAGGGUGACUUGAAGUGCUAGGUAAACCCCAUCCGGUGCAAGACCAUGUAGGAGAGGAAAGAUUGCUCGUCUUGUUUGACUCUUGGGUAGGUCGCAAAGAUUGAUGACCACAUAAACAGAAUCCGGCUUAUCCCUAUCUCUAAUU
rnacentral:RNase_P_RNA from 2 species